GGGAGUAUAGUUUAAGUAGGGUAUAACAUGUGUUUUGCAUACAUAAAAUAUAGGUUCGAGUCCUAUUACUUCCA
rnacentral:tRNA from 1 species